AACGAACGCUGGCGGCAUGCCUAACACAUGCAAGUCGAACGAGACCUUCGGGCCUAGUGGCGCACGGGUGCGUAACGCGUGGGAACCUGCCCUUAGGUUCGGAAUAACUCCCGGAAAGGGGUGCUAAUACCGGAGAAUGUCUUCGGACCAAAGAUUUAUCGCCUUUGGAUGGGCCCGCGUUGGAUUAGUUGGUUGGUAGGGUAAAAGCCUCCCAAGGCGACGAUCCAUAGCUGGUCUGAGAGGAUGGUCAGCCACACUGGGACUGAGACACGGCCCAGACUCCUACGGGAGGCAGCAGUGGGGAAUAUUGGACAGUGGGCGAAAGCCUGAUCCAGCAAUGCCGCGUGAGUGAUGAAGGCCUUAGGGUUGUAAAGCUCGUUUACCCGGGAUGAUAAUGACAGUACCGGGAGAAUAAGCACCGGCUAACUCCGUG
rnacentral:rRNA from 1 species